rnacentral:rRNA from 1 species
GCAUAUCAAUAAGCGGAGGAAAAGAAACCAACUGGGAUUGCCUUAGUAACGGCGAGUGAAGCGGCAAUAGCUCAAAUUUGAAAGCUGGCCCCUUUGGGGUCCGCGUUGUAAUUUGUAGAGGAUGAUUCGGCGAGGGCUCCCGUCUAAGUCCCCUGGAACGGGGCGUCAUAGAGGGUGAGAAUCCCGUAUGUGAUGGGUUGCCUUAGCCAUGUGAAUCUCCUUCGACGAGUCGAGUUGUUUGGGAAUGCAGCUCUAAAUGGGAGGUAAAUUUCUUCUAAAGCUAAAUACCGGCCAGAGACCGAUAGCGCACAAGUAGAGUGAUCGAAAGAUGAAAAGCACUUUGGAAAGAGAGUUAAAAAGUACGUGAAAUUGUUGAAAGGGAAGCGCUUGCAGCCAGACUUGUCCGCAGUUGCUCAGCCGGUCUCCUGACCGGCGUACUCUUCUGCGGCCAGGCCAGCAUCAGUUCGGGCGGUCGGAUAAAGACCCUAGGAAUGUAGCUCCUCUCGGGGAGUGUUAUAGCCUGGGGUGGAAUGCGGCCAGCCUGGACUGAGGAUCUCGCUUCGGCUAGGAUGCUGGCGUAAUGGCUGUAAGCGGCCCGUCUUGAAACACGGACC